GACGAACGCUGGCGGCGUGCUUAACACAUGCAAGUCGAACGGGCUGCCUGGUUUUCGGAUCGGGUGGUGAGUGGCGAACGGGUGAGUAACACGUGAGUAACCUGCCCCUCUCUUUGGGAUAACGUCGGGAAAUCGGCGCUAAUACCGGGUAUUCUGGCUUCCUCGCAUGGGGUUGUUGGGAAAGGUUUUUUCUGGUGGGGGAUGGGCUCGCGGCCUAUCAGCUUGUUGGUGGGGUGAUGGCCUACCAAGGCGGUGACGGGUAGCCGGCCUGAGAGGGUGUCCGGCCACACUGGGACUGAGACACGGCCCAG
rnacentral:rRNA from 1 species